GUUAAGCGACUAAGCGUACACGGUGGAUGCCCUGGCAGUCAGAGGCGAUGAAGGACGUGCUAAUCUGCGAUAAGCGUCGGUAAGGUGAUAUGAACCGUUAUAACCGGCGAUUUCCGAAUGGGGAAACCCAGUGUGAUUCGUCACACUAUCAUUAACUGAAUCCAUAGGUUAAUGAGGCGAACCGGGGGAACUGAAACAUCUAAGUACCCCGAGGAAAAGAAAUCAACCGAGAUUCCCCCAGUAGCGGCGAGCGAACGGGGAGCAGCCCAGAGCCUGAAUCAGUGUGUGUGUUAGUGGAAGCGUCUGGAAAGGCGCGCGAUACAGGGUGACAGCCCCGUACACAAAAAUGCACAUGCUGUGAGCUCGAUGAGUAGGGCGGGACACGUGGUAUCCUGUCUGAAUAUGGGGGGACCAUCCUCCAAGGCUAAAUACUCCUGACUGACCGAUAGUGAACCAGUACCGUGAGGGAAAGGCGAAAAGAACCCCGGCGAGGGGAGUGAAAAAGAACCUGAAACCGUGU
rnacentral:rRNA from 2 species